rnacentral:misc_RNA from 1 species
GAUGAAGAACGCAGCGAAAUGCGAUAAGUAAUGUGAAUUGCAGAAUUCAGUGAAUCAUCGAAUCUUUGAACGCACAUUGCGCCCUCUGGUAUUCCGGGGGGCAUGCCUGUUCGAGCGUCAUUAUAACCACUCAAGCUCUCGCUUGGUAUUGGAGUUCGCGAUCUCGCGGCUCCUAAAAUCAGUGGCGGUGCCUGUCGGCUCUACGCGUAGUAAUACUCCUCGCGAUUGAGUCCGGUAGGUUUACUUGCCAGCAACCCCCAAUUUUUACAGGUUGACCUCGUAUCAGGUAGGGAUACCCGCUGAACUUAAGCAUAUCAAUAAGCGGAGGA